rnacentral:lncRNA from 1 species
CACAUCAACAAUUAGGAGUUUUAAGCAACAUGGGCGCAGUUGUUGAAGAGUUUCUUUUGUCCUUUUGCUUAGGACAUAAUCCCUGAGACACAACCGAGUGCCCUAGAAUAUGACCUGUAGCUUGAUGAUCAGCAGAACUAUGUCCAAGGCAGGUCCUUUCAUCUGACCUCAUGAAGCCUCUUCACCUGACCAGUGGGAUGCCACAGGAAGGUUUUGAAAUUGAAUCAGCUAUUGGACCUGGCAGUGCGGCACGUUGGACCAAGGUCUGUACGUGAACCUGACGGAAAGGAGCGUGCAGGAUGCUCAGAAGCUCAUCCUGAUGCAUGAGGUGGUGCAGCCAGUGACUGCAGUGCCCUCCUUCAUGGAGGACAACAGCCGCUUUUCGCACAUGGCCAUCGACGUGGUGCAGGGCAGGGACGUGCUCGUCCACAUCAUCUAUUAGGCCACAGCCCCACCACCAGUUAUGCAGGAAUGUGUGAAUUUGGGCGCCAGUGAAGAGAGGGGUUGACUUUGAGCCAGUUUUUACUGAGUGAUCCGAUGCUGGACACCCCUGCACUCUGACACUUGGACCUCUUCCUGAAGCAUCACCUGUGGGAAUGGCCUCCAGAUGUGCCAGGUGUGUGUGGAGCAGAACCAUGAGGAAAGGAAGAUCCAUCCUGCACUGUGAGUUUAGCAUUUUCUUCAUUGUCUCCUGUUCAUCCCAUUGUCUGUCCACAUACCGCAUGGCCCACGCCACAUCUGCCUCCUUUCUGCACAACCACUUGGAAUACGAAAAGCCCCUCUACGCGGAGAAUGCCCAUGAGUUCAACCUCUGGUGCCAGGAUGGAGAGUGGAAAGAAUCAGGCUCUUCUCCCCAGAAUGCUGUGGCUGACAAAGAAAAUAUAGGAACAGGCGGUGAGGAGAAAGCUGGUCAGAGCAAAUAUCACACCGAAACAGGUCUGUUGAAAGCCCAAGGAGGUAUUGACCAAACCUAGGCUUAGACAGUCACCCAGCUGUGUGACCUUGGGUAUGUUGCUUGACCUCUCUGUGAUUUUAAUUUCUCAUCUGGAAACUGCACUUACUUCUUGGGCUUUUGUUAGUGUUGUAUAAAUUUAUCCAUGUAAAGAACUUAGCACCAUGGUUUACAAAGCAUAAUAAAUGCUGAUAUUAACUAUUUUAUUAUUGUUUC